AGAGUUUGAUCCUGGCUCAAGAUGACCGCUGGCGGCGUGCUUAACACAUGCAAGUCGAACGAAGCACUCUAUUUGAUUUUCUCCGGAAAUGAAGAUUUUGUGACUGAGUGGCGGACGGGUGAGUAACGCGUGGGUAACCUGCCUCAUACAGGGGGGAUAACAGUUGGAAACGACUGCUAAUACCGCAUAAGCGCACAGGAUCGCAUGAUCCGGUGCGAAAAACUCCGGUGGUAUGGGAUGGACCCGCGUCUGAUUAGCUAGUUGGCAGGGUAACGGCCUACCAAAGCGACGAUCAGUAGCCGACCUGAGAGGGUGACCGGCCACAUUGGGACUGAGACACGGCCCAAACUCCUACGGGAGGCAGCAGUGGGGAAUAUUGCACAAUGGGGGAAACCCUGAUGCAGCGACGCCGCGUGAGCGAAGAAGUAUUUCGGUAUGUAAAGCUCUAUCAGCAGGGAAGAAGAAUGACGGUACCUGACUAAGAAGCACCGGCUAAAUACGUGCCAGCAGCCGCGGUAAUACGUAUGGUGCAAGCGUUAUCCGGAUUUACUGGGUGUAAAGGGAGCGCAGGCGGUGCGGCAAGUCUGAUGUGAAAGCCCGGGGCUCAACCCCGGUACUGCAUUGGAAACUGUCGUACUAGAGUGUCGGAGGGGUAAGUGGAAUUCCUAGUGUAGCGGUGAAAUGCGUAGAUAUUAGGAGGAACACCAGUGGCGAAGGCGGCUUACUGGACGAUAACUGACGCUGAGGCUCGAAAGCGUGGGGAGCAAACAGGAUUAGAUACCCUGGUAGUCCACGCCGUAAAC
rnacentral:rRNA from 1 species